ensembl:snoRNA
GGUGAAUGGUGUGCGCGGUGGUAGUCCGUGUUACGUGCUGCUGCCGGACUGUGUCUUACAGCCUGUGCAGCAGUGCUCACUCCACACCUGCAGCCAUAGAACAGCUGGAGAUCAUAGUACUGGCCCUUGACGUCUACUGACAGCUCACCAUCGGUCGGCCUCCAAACUCUCCAACAUGC